AGCCUUUGCGCACUAGGACCCUGAAACGACGGAGACAGGCAGCAGUGAGUGAAUAUGGCAGACAGAGACACAGCGUCAGAUGCUCACAAACACUAUGCUUAUGCCGAGCUGCUCAGUCUUUGUUUAUACGAUCAGAUGAGCACUGGACUCCCCUGGCCGAGAAGAGAGAGUAGAGAGACUAAGGAAUCAAGUGAAAGCUGUCUGGAUCCCUGACGAAAGACUAGUGGAGCUGCAGUCACCAGCAGGGAAGCUUUGGCUGACGAUGAGUUUUUCAGAGAAGCACUCCUGAAAAGGCUCUUUUCCUUUUUGAUUGUGUGAACUGCUGGACCACAUCAGCAUUAUCAAGUCUUCAAGCUGGUCUGAAGGGGGUUUCCAGUUGGGUAUAGCUCACUUUUAAUAUCCUGUACACUGCUUUCCUCAAUGAGCAUUUAUGCAACGCCACAUACACGCUGUCAGAGUAACCUGGUAGCUUUGCCCUUUGUCUCAAAGUUGAAGUCAAAUAAGGGUUUGAGAUGAUUGCACUGCUGUUUUAAAUGAUCUGUUUUCUCAGCUUGUCCCUGUCAGGGCAGUGGAAGAUUAGUUUUGAUGUUUACCAACUGGACACGGUGGCAGAGUUUAAAAAGAGCCACCCUGGAAAGCCUUACACCCGUAUGUGUGUCUGUAUUUGAACAAUUCACUGAGAUGGGUCUGCUGACUUAUUACCUGUAUUAUGAACACACGGGAUGAGUGAUUGUCUUUUCCCUGCUGUGUUGGUUUUGUCAUUUUGCCUUAGUUAUACAGUGGCUGGAUGGUACUGACUGCUGAUUCAUGCUGGAAAAUCAUUUGAUGCUUUUGCAGUAUUUAGCAGUGGAAUGGAAUAUGCAAGUCAUUCAUCAAAAUGUUUAAUAACACGCUUUGGCCUCGUAGUAUGAUCUCUGAUGUCACAGUUUUGAUGGUCCUGUGUCUGAUCUGCAUGCCAUGAAGCAGCUGUCCUUCCAAAGAGGGGACGUCCCAGUGACUUCUGCAGUGGUGGGUUCGCAGUGACAUCUCCUUUUAUUGCUUCAGGGAUUUCAAACUGCAGAUAGAUGUGUAUUAAAGGAUGAUUUCUGAAACUAAAAUUGGACUUUAAAAACAUUUGAAUCUCUGGGAUCUCUUAAAGAGAUAGUUCACCCAACACUGGAUGAUCAUUUACUCUUCUUCAUGUUGUUUCAAGAAUGUUGGUAACCAAAUAGUUUUGCUUGCCAUUGACUUCCUUUUGGAAGUGGGACAUUGUAUAAAACAUUGUAUAAAAUAUCUGAACUUUGAACAUAAUUUAAAACCAAAACAACUAAGUCAUACAAUUUUGGAAUGACAAGAGGGAUGAAUAAAUCAUGACAGGAUUUUCAUUUGUUUGGGUCAAAUGCCUCUUUAUGUUGAUUUUAAUACAGAAUGUGUA